CGUAUGCUGUGGUUGCUGCGGGAUACUUGGGCCUUGCUGUUUUAUGCUUAUGCUGCCUCAGAAUAAACAUUCAGCACGAUCAGUGAAGCCUGACUCCUCUUGGCACUGACUGCUCUGACUGAGAGACAGCAGAAUGAAUGUUGACCCAAAACUUCAGAAAUAAAUAAAUAGGUACAGAGGAUGCCAGGAGAGGCUGCCAGAUGGACAAAUGUUUGCUGGAAUGCAGUUACAGGAGAGAGGGAAGCGUUGUACACGUGCAUCUGUUUAGUGAGGCAUCCUCCAGUUCCACCAUAGGGAACUGCGCUGCAGUGAGUAAAGGAAGCAUUUUGCAGAAAGAGCUUGUGUCUGAAUCUUUAUUUGCAAGUCAGAAGUUGACCACAAGAGACAGCCAUGCUGCAGCAGGAGAUGAACAAUGUAAAAUAUGGGGCCAGUGUUAAUUCCAGAGGAGUUUUCUGUGUGUAUAUGUCAGAUUAAUAAAAAUUGAUAAUAUCUGG